GAAUAUUGGUCAAUGGGCGAGAGCCUGAACCAGCCAUGCCGCGUGCAGGAAGACGGCCUUCUGGGUUGUAAACUGCUUUUAUACGGGAAGAAAAUGCCCUUGCGAGGGAAAUUGCCGGUACCGUAUGAAUAAGCACCGGCUAGCUCCGUGCCAGCCGCCGCGGUAAUACGGAGGGUGCAAGCGUUGCCCGGAUUUAUUGGGUUUAAAGGGUGCGUAGGCGGGUCUUUAAGUCAGUGGUGAAAGCCUGCAGCUCAACUGUAGAACUGCCAUUGAUACUGGAGGCCUUGAGUGUACUAGAGGUAGGCGGAAUUUAUGGUGUAGCGGUGAAAUGCAUAGAUACCAUAAAGAACACCGAUAGCGUAGGCAGCUUACUGGAGUACAACUGACGCUGAGGCACGAAAGCAUGGGUAGCGAACAGG
rnacentral:rRNA from 1 species